rnacentral:rRNA from 1 species
CAGCCGUAAACAAUGUGCGUUAGGUGUGUCGGUAACCACGCGUUACUGAUGCGCCGAAGAGAAAUCGUGAAACGCACCACCUGGGAAGUACGGUCGCAAGGCUGAAACUUAAAGGAAUUGGCGGGGGAGCACCACAACAGGUGGAGCCUGCGGUUUAAUUGGAUUCAACGCCGGGAAGCUCACCGGAUAAGACAGCGGAAUGAUUGCCGGGCUGAAGACCCUGCAUGACCAGCUGAGAGGAGGUGCAUGGCGUAGUCGUGU